UUCUUUCUUAUUUUUUUUGUUCUUCCUCUUUUUUUUCUGCUUAUUGACAAAAUAAUUACGCGAACAUUAUUUCCGGAGUGUACAUAAACACAUUGUGAGUGAUAAAGACAAAAAAGGAAAAUACGUUUUUGACUAAAUGUUUGCCUGUCGCAAUGAUUUCCCAUGUUAAUUGUGUGAUUUUCUGCAUCGAUUCGGCCAGUCCUUUUCAUGUCCAUACAAAUCCAAGACCGUCGAGUGAAAUGUAUUUUAAAUUAAUAAUUUAAAAAAUUCCUAUGAGCGUGAAAUCUGCAUUGACACGAUUUCUGAGAAUGAAAUGUGGGAAAAAAGAAAAACAAAAAGAAAAAAGAAGAAAAAGUAAUGGAUCGUCGCUCGAUCGAUCGUACGACUUCGAGUCUAUUUUUAACGAAGCACGUGGAGCACAAAAACGUCACGGAAUCAUUCGCGUGCUUUUUACGAUUCAUGUUAAAAAAGAAAAAUACGAGGACUAAUGCGAGGACGAGGACGAGGACGAGGACGAGGACGAUGGCGACAACAAGAACGUGAGAAUGUCGAUUGAGAAUCUUCGACUUGUGACCGGCUUCCCGCGAAGAUCGUCGAUUAAGAUAAGCUUACUUCGUUUACCUCGUGUUGAGUUGACUUUCGUUAUAUAAACUUCUCGGUAUUAACGAGUUAAUUACUAGAUAUAGUUUACUCGAUAAAGAAUAGACAUAUGUAUGUAUGUGUGUACAUACGUUCGCUCGUUUAAUACUUAUUGAUAUCAGCUUCGAAUAGCAAACAGUAGAUGCCGCCUGACGAUAGUCAGCCAAGUAGUACAUGUUGAAAUAUAGUUAUCCGAGAGACAAACUAUAUCGUGUUUAUUAUAUACAUGUGUGUGUAUGUGUAUUAAUCAAAAGAAAAUAUAAAUAUUUUAACAUCUCUACGAGUAUACGAAUGUUUAGAUAAUCUUUGUCAUACCAUCUCUAUUCAUGCAUUUGUUAAUUUGUAUAAUAUUUAAAAAACAAGGAUGCAAUUCGGACACACACAUUUUCAUAUUAAUGGAAAAGAUUUGCCGUGGAAUAAUUUUUCAUUUUUAUGAGUUUAAGAAGAUACUUGUAGACGUAAAAAAAUAUUCUUUCUCUCUUUCUCUUUCUCUCUCUCUCUCUCUCUCUCUCUCUCUCUCACUUUCUCUUUCUUUUUUUCUUUAUCUUUUUCUUUCGGUCAUGCAUUUUCAACGAAUUUCAAACGAGGUCGCUCGGAAUAGGAACACUCGCGUAGGUAAGUACGAACUCACCUUCCACUCUCUUUCUCUCUCUCUCUCUUUCUCUGUUUCUCUCUUUCUCUCUCUCACCUGCGAAUCGAUCACCUGACUCUAAAUUAUUCAGCGUAAAGGCCUUUAUGGAAUAAAUAUAUCUGCCGCUGUAUUUACGAUUUCUUCCUGGACCGUUGCAAAAAUGUCAUAGAAAAGGAGAAAAAAAGACAAGAAUAACAAACAGAAAAAACGAAAAACUUUUUCUACGAACCUUGAUCAAUCUUUUCUUUUUUUUUUUUUAUCGAACAAUCUUUUACGAUUUUAUUUAUAAUAUCGCAAUAAAUAACUUUGACUAAAAAAUUUUCCAAAAUUUUACGAUCGAGAGAAGAACGAAACGUUCAAUGAGAGUUCUUUUCAACGAGUAGUAUUAAGAAAAAGAAUGCAAAUAGAUGUAAACGAAUGCAAAAAGCUGCAUAUACUGUAAUUAUAAACGCUAGCGGAGACACGCGGUACACAUCGAAGAGAGAAAGAGAAAGAGAUAAAGAGAAAUAGAGAGAGAUAGAGAAAGAAAGAGAGGAGAGAGAGAGAUAGAUAGAUAGAUAGAUAGAGAGAGGGAGAGAGAGAGAGAGAGAGAGAGAGAGAGAGAGAGAGAAUUAAAUAAAGCAAAGGCGCCACACUGUCUGAGCCUGCCGCUCGAUAAACUAGAUUACGUGCUAACGCGCCGAGCUUUUUAUUUUUUUACCCUUUUUCUUCCUUCUGUCUCUCUCACUCUCUCUCUCUCUCUUUCUCUCUCUUUAUACCGUGUCGGUCUCAUAUUAUGUCAGCCACCGUUGAGAACGACAUCGCUAAAGAAACUGUGUCACAACUUUACUGCACAUACAGAAAAGGAGAUUCGAAGAAAGAAAGCAAAAAAAUAAAAAAGUCAACCAAAGUUUCUAUCAUAAGUAAUGAAAGAUUUACGGCGAACAAAGUUACAACAAUAAGCGAUAACUAAAUCUGGAUUAAAUCGAUUGAACUCUUUCGAAGGAUUUUAUUCUUAGAGGAAAAAGAAAAAAGAAAAUAAAAUAAAAAAAAAAAAAGAGACAGAAAAAAGAAAGAAAAAUAGGAAAUGUUGGCCAAGACGAUUCGAAUAUCCUCGAAAUUAUCGAAGGAUCCUCGUUAAAAUUGGCGCCAUCUUUGAACGUACUCCUGCAUAUGCCGUGGCCUCGACAGGACACGUCACUUAUCAUAGAAAAAGAAAGAGAGAGAUGCAGAAACAGAGAGAGAGAGAGAGGGAGAGAGAGAGAGAGAGCAGUGACGUCAACUGCGGUAACUGAGAAAACGCCGAUGCAGGUCGACGAAACGCAUGCGCGACCCUACGAUCGAUUCUUUCGUUUUCCAGCGCGCACGUCACGCAAACCAGCCGAAAACGGAGACAUAAGCGCGCGGGUGGACUCUUCCUAAAGGGAGGAACGAUAUUGUGUCGGGCAAAAAGUAACGAGAAAUGAUAGAAGAGAGACGUUGAGGUGAAAAGAAAAGAGUUUACCUCGAUGAUUUAGCCGAUCGCUGAACAGAGAGAAAUAUUUCGAAUUGUUCGAGAAGAUCGUUUGAGAGAAAGUAGAAAAGAAAAGAAAAGAAAAAAAAGAAAGAAAACAAACUUACCGAAGAUUCGAAAGGAUUCAAGAAAUAAAUAAGAAGAAACAAAGAAGAAACGUCGUUGGGUGUUGCUCGAUUAUAAAAUUUUUAAUCGACGGUAUUAGAAUGUAGAACUCAAGGAUCGUUUGAGAUUAGCAUGUAAGCCAUUGAAGUAGAUCGGGGACCGAAGGAUCAUCGAAAUAUCGUUGAAAUUCAGGAGAAAGCCGGCACGAUGCCGAAGCAAGUGCCGGUGGAGAACUUAGUGAUACCACCGCAGGACGGUAGGAUCUGCGGUACUAUCUGUAUAUGUCAGAUGACUGCGGUUUUAUCGUCGGUCGCAUUGGUCUAUCUAACUGUGGCGAUAUACAUGCCGAGUACGCGAGCAUUUCAAUCGGGUAUCAGCGAGGUCCCGGCAAUGUGUACGACGAUUCGAGCCGUCAAUGCUGACAACUGCGAGUGGGGAAGCUGCGGCGAGUGGUGUCUAUCGAAAACAUCCGGUCCUUGCGUACAAAUCCAUGUAAAUCUUCGACGAAACGGUUCGACGAUACUUCUCGCCAAUUGUACGAACACAACGAACAAGACUUGUUACGGUAUAGAUCAGGAAAACGCGAAAAAGUCGAAGUGUAUAGCAGAUGAGUGUCGAAAUCUCACCGGUACGUUUAAUUGUUCAGCAGGGACGUGUAUAAACAUAACCGACGCGUUCGAGUGUAUGUUUCAUGAUACCGAUCCGCCGUUAAAGUGUUCCGGUAGACGUGGCAAAAUAACUUGUAUCGAUAUAGAUGGUCUUUUUAAUUGCAAUCGCGGUACUUGCGAACGUAUAAGAACGCCUUAUAAUUGCGACCGACGUUGCGUCGACAUACCAACUAGAAAUAAGAACAUGAUACUUCUUAGUGGGGACAAGGUUUAUCUCAGUCAAUGUGAAAGAGCUAUAGACGUGGAGACCAAUCGAGAGAUAUGGCACGAGGAUCGAGGCGACGUUAUGAUGGCCUCGUGUUAUGGUAUAUUUAAUUCAACCCUUGGCGUUGAGGCUGUCGAUUGUAUUAACGGAUCUGUAUUAGAAAAGGAUCUUCUUACUGAUCUAACCAAUUUCACUUAUCUCUCCUAUUUAAAUAUAUUUGCGACAAAACCCUUGGACGAGACAAGAAUGGUGGCUCCACCCGAACAAGAUCUCAUAAUAGCUAACGAGAGUCGUUUGCUUAUCAAUCUCGAAGGAUGUGUUAACACUCUUCGUGAUGAGUGUAAAGAUUUCCUUCACGAAUAUGGAAAAGAUGGUUCCGAUCACAACGCUAGAGCUAGAUUUCCUUGUUAUUAUGCAGAUGGUAAUACUGGUAUCGUCGUGUCACGUUUUAAUCUCGACACGACUUAUAAAGAAUUCUUGAUCGCUUUUAUACUACCGAGCAUACUCUUCAUCGUCAGCUGUCUCACGCUGAUCUUUUGUCAGCGCACGGUGGUGGUAGGAGACGACGCGAGGAUGAGAUUCAAAGGUUCACCAGGUGCUCUAGCGUCGAUAGAGAAGAGCGCCUCGGGCAACGUAGGGGAUGCUGGCGGAGGAGAUUCCGUCAUGGCGCUCUGAGAUCCGUCACGUAAGGUUUUUUUUUUCGCGCACACAACGUAUAUGUUACCGUUUUAUAUUCUAGAGAAUGACUAGGCAUUCCCCUCCUGGAGGAGAGUCCGGCUCGUCAGUCGAUAUUCUCCCUGCGCGGGCACUAUUGAAGUGUGGGGAGGGGGGGAACGCGUGGUUCAAAUUCUCAUCUCGAAAAUACUUUUAUGAAAAUUUCCAAGAAAAUAAAUAAAAAGGAGAGGGAGCUAAUUGAAGUCCGGUAUCUUCUUUACGCACUGCCCGCAGCAUAUUUUUACGCAUUCUACAAGCGCGUUUCUUAUCGCGCAUACUGCAUGCGACGAGAAAGAGAGAAAGAGUGAAAAAAGAGAAAGAGAGAGAGAGAGAGAGAGAGAGAGAGAGAGAGA